rnacentral:rRNA from 1 species
GAUGAACGCUAGCUACAGGCUUAACACAUGCAAGUCGAGGGACCGGCGCACGGGUGAGUAACACGUAUCCAACCUGCCCUUUACUCGGGGAUAGCCUUUCGAAAGAAAGAUUCAUACCCGCUAUAAAGGAUGGGGAUGCGUUCCAUUAGGUUGUUGGUGAGGUAACGUCUCACCAAGCCUUCGAUGGACAGGGGUUCUGAGAGGAAGUUCCCCCACAUUGGAACUGGGACACGGUCCAAACUCCGACGGGAGGCAGCAGUGAGGAAGAUUGGUCAAGUGGAGCUAGCCUGAACCAGCCAAGUAGCGUGAAGGAUGAAGGCUUAUGGGUCGUAAACUUCGUUGAUAUAAGAAUAGGUAUUAUAUGAAUAAGGAUCGGCUAACUCCGUGCCAGCAGCCGCGGUAAUAC